rnacentral:rRNA from 1 species
AAUAUCGAACCUGGCCCCCUGGCCACGUCUACCUUGCAAACCCGUGGAAGCGAACCGUGCUUCGGCGCCUCGGCGUCGAGUUUAUGCUGCAGUUGGUAGUUUGCGUCUGAAUCAAACCGAAGAACAUAAAACUUUCAACAGAGGAUCUCUUGGCUCUUGUAUCGAUGAAGAACGCAGCAAAGCGCGAAAUGUAGUGAACAUAGCAGCACAAUUGUGAAUCAUCGAAUCUUUGAACGCACAUUGCGCCUCCUGUUACAGGGAGGCAUGCCUGUCUGAGCGUCAUUUAAACCCAUGCCAUUGGCGAGCUUCGUCAUCGGCGUGUUGGGCCCUCGUCGACCAGACGUCGGCGUGGCCUCGAAUCAAUCGGUCAGGUUGAGCGGACGAGAUCCCCUGGGACAUGGACCGUUCAUCCGACCCUAAAGACUUUGAAAUCUUGACCUCAGAUCAGGUAGGGACACCGCCUG